AACGAACGCUGGCGGCAUGCCUAACACAUGCAAGUCGAACGAGACCUUCGGGUCUAGUGGCGCACGGGUGCGUAACGCGUGGGAACCUGCCCUUAGGUUCGGAAUAACUCCCCGACAGGGGUGCUAAUACCGGAUAAUGUCUUCGGACCAAAGAUUUAUCGCCUUUGGAUGGGCCCGCGUUGGAUUAGCUAGUUGGUAGGGUAAAAGCCUACCAAGCCGACGAUCCAUAGCUGGUCGGAGAGGAUGAUCAGCCACACUGGGACUGGGACACAGCCCAGACUCCUAGGGGAGGCAGAAGUGGGGAAUAUUGGACAAUGGGCGAAAGCCUGAUCCAGCAAUGCCGCGUGAGUGAUGAAGGCCUUAGGGUUGUAAAGCUCUUUUACCCGGGAUGAUAAUGACAGUACCGGGAGAAUAAGCUCCGGCUAACUCCGU
rnacentral:rRNA from 1 species